rnacentral:lncRNA from 1 species
AGACCAAUGAGUGGACAACACUUUAUCCAUUGCUUCACUAAGCAAAAUACAGUGGGCUUGGUCUCUAAGUCCUAUGACCUCACCUAGCAGUUAUUGGUACAUUUCUUAGUUAAGUCAGACCCAUUGUUCACCAGCAGGCGCAAAGCCGUCAUUGGGAUCUUCACCUAACAGUUAUUGGGCCCAAUCCCAUUUCUAUCUCAGGACAUCAAAUGUCAAUAAAGUGAUUGUACCUUCUCAAUGCAACCGAACCACUGUAACCAGCCGAGAACGAUCAAUGCCAGGAAGGCACCUGCAUCUCUACAACGAUGGAAGACCUUUAGAUUUAAUAUUUAAUGAGGAGAUUUAGAUUUAGGUCUCUUCUAAAUCAGCAGAUAUGACAUCCGACUGAUUAAAUUCAGGUCAGCACAUCAACAUGUCUAACCAGCCUAGUCGGUAUAGGUGAAGUUGAGUCAACAAGUAACCUAACACGAAACUGAAUCUCCCAAGAUGGCCAGAUAAGUUAAGAUGAGUGGGGGUCCUCUGUUGCUUUCCUUAGACACCAAUCAAAAUUGGGCAGAUCAGACAACGGAACCAAUUAAAUAACCACUAUCUAAAAACUUAUCUUAGACAUCAAAUUGGUCGAUUAGAAUCGAUCAGGUUAACCUAUUGAAACGGAUCUGAAUCACUGAGCUAAAUUCGGUCUUGAGUCAAUCAACUCACAUCAAAAUGUAAAUCGAUGCGAUCAACUAUAACCAAACUCGAUUUUGAGCCCUUUUGACUUAAUUCUAAUCAACCAUUGAUUAGGUUCAAUCAACUGCUCAAAAUCGACAACGGGUUCUAGCCUGAUCUAAUCAAUUUGAUUCUAAUUGUAGUUUGAUCACUAGACCUAAUUUGUUCAACCCAUACCCACAGCAAUAACAUAAUUUUAGAUCCAAAAAUGAUUUUUAGAUUAUGUUUCAUUGCAUGCAUUAGUGGCUUAUGAUCUUGAAACUGUUUCAGAUUUAAACCUAAGGUCAUAUAUAUAUAUAUAUGUAGUUUCAGAUCCAAACUAAAAUAUGUAUCACAUAUACAUCAAAUUUUAGAUCUAAAACUAAAAUUACACAUAUCAAAUACAUGUAAAAUCAGAUCUAAAAUAAUGAUUAAAAUAUUUUGAAAACAUCUUUUAAAAAAUCGGUUCGCAUCAAACUGGGACAACCUUUUCAAUAUAGGGGGUAAACUCUAUAUCAGGACAACUCUAUAUCAGUUUGAUACGAAUUUUUAAUCAUUCUAAUUUCAGAUCUAAACAUAAAAUAAGACAUAUCACAUCUGCAAAUUUUCAAAUCUAAAAGAUUGAUUUAAUUACUUUGAAAAUAGUUUUUAAAACCGAUCAAUCUUGUGCUAGGACAAUUUUUACAAUAUAGGGGGUAAACUCUAUAUUAGGACAACCUUAUCAGCACAAGAUCAAUUUUAAAUCACUAAAACUUUCAGAUCUAAGACAAAAAUCAGCUCAUAUGUGUCUUUAAAAAUCAGUGGCUCUGAUUCCACUGUUAGAAAGUCUGGUAGGGUGCAUAUGUAGAUUUCAAAAAUCUUUACAAUUGCAGCAGAAAAAUAAUCGGAUUAAACCCUUUAACCCCACAUGCAUUAAAUCUUAUCUAAUCCUAUCCAAGCCCAGGAGAAAAGACAUACAUAUAAUCUGAAAAUUAGAAUUAAGAUGAGAUCAAAUCUCAAUAUCUUUGCGUGGGUAGAAAUUCACCGUUACCGAUGAUCGCUGAUUUGAAAGUCCUCGAGCCGCACACGUGUCUGGCCUCUACAGGUAUCCAUCGGGAUCAAUUUUGAAUCUAUCUUCUCGAAGGAGUAGUAGUAGAUCCUUCUUCUCCGAGUAGGAUCUCAGUCCUUCGGAACCUCGAUCAACUCUUUGAUCUUCACUGCAAAAUCAACCCUUUGAACUGCAGCUUUUUCUCCUCGUUCCUCGCCGUAGGAGACUCCUCAACUCUUGGCGUGUAUAGAAGUGGGAUGCCCAACUUUUGGGCAUUGGAAAGAGGAGAAAAAAGGGGUGGUGUGGAGAAG